CGGCGUCCGGAGGGGCCCGGCGGCGGGGGCGCCUUAGCCCCCAAGUGGGCGCCGGAGGCCCGUGGGGAAGCGGCGGAGCAGGUCCCGGGCUCUCGGACUCGGUUCGAAUCCCAGCCCUGCCUCUUACUCUUGACUCUUGAUCUGUGACUUCAAGGCUCCUUGCCUCAGUUUACCCGUCAGUAAAAGAAGCGACACUGGAGGGUGCAGUAACCCACCACUGGCAUUUAAAGCAGCUGAGAUGAUCACGCAGUGACACUGCGGGGCAGCAAGUUUGGGACACCCAGAUUCUGCACGUGAAUCUCCUGUGUUAAACUCUGCAACCUCACGGAGAAUCAAUUUCCGCAUCUGUUACAGGGCAGUAGCAAGAACAAACACCCUGCCUCUCGGGUGGUUUGAGAAUCCCGUGAAUUCAUAGUGAGACAAUGCGUGGCACAUUUCAGUACCAUGUCUGCUGCCCCACGGAGGGACGGGAUGUAGGAGGUUUUCUCUGUGGUCCGAGCUCAGGAGGGCAAGGAGGUGAGGGCAAGACUGGAACCCCUAGAAGUGGGUGGCAAGUCACAGGUCCAGGGCAGGGUGGCAUGACCAUGGCUGCAGAGGCCCCUAUCCCGAAGCUGGCUCACAGCACCUGCUGCGGGCAGGCAGAAGGGGGGCCUGGGGGUGAGUCACCGCCCAGCAAUGAGGCUUGAGUCACACAGGGCGGGGUCCCCCGUUAGCCCCCCCAGCUGCUCCCACAAAGGCCCUUUGAGAAGAGUUCCCCACCCCCUACUCCCACCCCCUAGGCCCUCUCUAGGGGUGGGCUGUGGGGCCGAGGCCCUGCUGGGCUGCCCCCAGGAGCCCGGCCUGGGUCUGGGAGGCGCCAGCCAGUUUCAGCCAUGUCUGUGAAAAGUCACCAUAGGAAGCUGGGUGUCCCCCGGGGAGGGGGCUUCCAGGCUGCCUGAGUCACUGGAAUGGUGGAGGGUCACACGCGCAGGGCCCAC
rnacentral:lncRNA from 1 species